rnacentral:rRNA from 1 species
UACGGAAGGCAGCAGUGGGGAAUAUUGCACAAUGGGCGAAAGCCUGAUGCAGCUAUGCCGCGUGUAUGAAGAAGGCCUUAGGGUUGUAAAGUACUUUCAUCGGGGAGGAAAAACAAAACUAAUAAUUUUAUUUCUUGACGUUACCCGAAAAAGAAGCACCGGCUAACUCCGUGCCAGCAGCCGCGGUAAUACGGAGGGUGCUAGCGUUAAUCAGAAUUACUGGGCGUAAAGAGCACGUAGGUGGUUUUUUUAAGUCAGAUGUGAAAUCCCUGGGCUUAACCUAGGAACUGCAUUUUGAAACUGAAAUACUAGAGUAUCGUAGAGGGAGGUAGAAUUCUAGGUGUAGCGGUGAAAUGCGUAGAUAUCUGGAGGAAUACCUGUGGCGAAAGCGGCCUCCUAAACGAAUACUGACACUGAGGUGCGAAAAGCGUGGGGAGCAAAACAGGGAUUAGAUACC